GAUGAAGAACGUAGCGAAAUGCGAUAAGUAAUGUGAAUUGCAGAAUUCAGUGAAUCAUCGAAUCUUUGAACGCAUCUUGCGCUCCUUGGUAUUCCGAGGAGCAUGCCUGUUUGAGUGUCAUUAAAUUCUCAACUCUCCUAUACUUUGUUGUAAAGGAGGGCUUGGAUUGUGGAGGCUUGCUGGCCGCUUGAUGUGGUCAGCUCCUCUGAAAUGCAUUAGCAGAACUGUUUGCGAUCUGCCACAAGUGUGAUAAAUUAUCUACACUGGCGAGGGGAUUGCUCUCUGUGUUCAGCUUCUAAUCGUCUUCAGUGACAAUUUCUUGAAUGCUUGACCUCAAAUCAGGUAGGACUACCCGCUGAACUUAAGCAUAUCAAUAAGCGGAGG
rnacentral:misc_RNA from 1 species